rnacentral:lncRNA from 1 species
GGUGGUGUUAGUUUAGCUGGUGGUGGUGUUAGUUUAGCUGGUGGUGGUGUUAGUUUAGCUGGUGGUGGUGUUAGUUUAGCUGGUGGUGGUGUUAGUUUAGCUGGUGGUGGUGUUAGUUUAGCUGGUGGUGGUGUUAGUUUAGCUGGUGGUGUCAGUUUAGUUGGUGGUGGUGUUAGUUUAACUGGUGGUGGUGUUAGUUUAGCUGCUGGUGGUGUUAGUUUAGCUGGUGGUGUUAGUUUAGCUGGUGGUGGUGUUAGUUUAGCUGGUGGUGGUGUUAGUUUAGCUGGUGGUGGUGUUAGUUUAGCUGGUGGUGGUGUUAGUUUAGCUGGUGGUGUUAGUUUAACUGGUGGUGGUGUUAGUUUAGCUGGUGGUGGUGUUAGUUUAGCUGGUGGUGUUAGUUUAACUGAUGGUGGUGUUUGUUUAACUGAUGGUGGUGUUAGUUUAACUGGUGGUGGUGUUAGUUUAGCUGGUGGUGGUGUUAGUUUAGCUGGUGGUGGUGUUAGUUUAGCUGGUGGUGGUGUUAGUUUAGCUGGUGGUGGUGUUAGUUUAACUGGUGGUGGUGUUAGUUUAGCUGGUGGUGGUGUUAGUUUAACUGGUGGUGGUGUUAGUUUAGCUGGUGGUGGUGUUAGUUUAGCUGGUGGUGUUAGUUUAGCUGGUGGUGUUAGUUUAGCUGGUGGUGUUAGUUUAGCUGGUGGUGUUAGUUUAACUGGUGGUGGUGUUAGUUUAGCUGGUGGUGUUAGUUUAGCUGGUGGUGUUAGUUUAGCUGGUGGUGUUAGUUUAACUGGUGUUAGUUUAGCUGCUGGUGGUGUUAGUUUAGCUGGUGGUGUUAGUUUAGCUGGUGGUGGUGUUAGUUUAACUGGUGUUAGUUUAACUGGUGGUGGUGUUAGUUUAACUGGUGUUAGUUUAGCUGGUGGUGGUGUUAGUUUAACUGGUGGUGGUGUUACUGGUGGUGGUGUUAGUUUAACUGGUGGUGUUAGUUUAACUGGUGGUGUUAGUUUAACUGGUGGUGUUAGUUUAACUGGUGUUAGUUUAGCUGCUGGUGGUGUUAGUUUAGGUGGUGGUGUUAGUUUAACUGGUGGUGUUAGUUUAACUGGUGGUGGUGUUAGUUUAACUGGUGGUGGUGUUAGUUUAGCUGGUGGUGGUGUUAGUUUAGCUGGUGGUGGUGUUAGUUUAGCUGGUGGUGGUGUUAGUUUAGCUGGUGGUGGUGUUAGUUUAGCAGGUGGUUGUGUUAGUUUAGCAGGUGGUGGUGUUAGUUUAGCUGGUGGUGUUUUUUGUUUAACUGGUGGUGGUGUUAGUUUAACUGGUGGUGGUGUUAGUUUAGCUGGUGGUGGUGUUACUUUAGCUGGUGGUGUUAGUGUAGCUGGUGGUGGUGUUAGUUUAGCUG